UUAUUGCUAUUGACGUAAUGCAUUGACGUAUUGAUGUAACCUCCCUGAAAUGACUGCAAAAUGGUAUGUCAGAGCCUUUAGAUUUCAAACUUUCUUGGAGGACAUGCCCCCGAAUGCUCUAGUGUCAUGCGCCUUCCAUGCUCGCUCGUUCCAGGAAUUCAUCUGCUACCCGACACAAAACAAUCCAAGCUACAGCCCUGGGCCAUAUUUCACAAAACAUGGUAGGCCUAAGCCUGGUUUUGCACGUAGUCGCAGAUGUAAACUUACGAUGUUUUGUGAAAUUAGGUGUAGAACAUUCCCGACAAUACGAUUUUAUUUGCUUUAAUGACACCUGAAAUGGCCCGUUCUCGUCGGACCACUGAAGAUAAGCAAACUGGGAUCCGGCUAUUACAGAAACAAAGAAACAUGUUUAAAGACAAAUAUCUUUCUCUUUUGCGUACUGGAUUGUUGCAGACUUUGUGGAAGCCAAACGAUGUCCUUCCACGUGACGUAAACGCAUUGCUUAUGUAACCCCGUGGAAUUAGCGCGCCGACACACAUACACACACAAACACACACACACACACACACAAACAACACACAUACACAAACGCAACAUACACACAUACGCGCGCGCGCGCACGCGCGCACACACACACACACACACACACACACACACACAACGGCAUGCAUAUUAAACUGCAUCUAUAUGACUUUUUGUUUUUGUUUUUUAAGCCGAUAUAUGGGGAGGCGCUACAAACGCGUUCGACCUCAAUAACUGGGCGUGGGCGCGAGGGAACUCAACGUUCACGGUUAAGGACAUGCCGACUGGAUACAUCUACUUCAUGUUGUACCGCUUCACGAGCCAGUACGACUACGGCAUAGGCAAAACGUAUGAAACGCAUCCGUUCAUCUGCGAGAAAUGGUAGUCCCAUAUAUAUAUCGCCAAUGGAUUUGAACACAAACGGAACCCAAAUCAUGAUGACAACGUUUUUAUCAAUACAACAUCUGCUAUUUUCAUUUUAAGAGCCCGUCAGACGUUUUAUAUUGUGCUGUGUUGUUGAUUUUUUUAAAUUACUAAAUGUUCAACUUGAAGAGGACACGUAGCUUGCGAGGUGUUUUAUAAUUAAAAGAAAAAUAAAUUAAGAUGAAUACAA